UUUUUUUUUUUUCUUCCUCUCUUUUUAGUUUGCUCUUGAUGAAGCAAUAAUCACCUUUCUUAUUUUCUCACUUUGAAGAAAACACACGAUUUUUUGCUACACUUUAUAGCCUUGUGGAUGUGCCUUCCUGUGCAAUCAGAUUAAAUUCUUAAACUUUUCCCUGACUGGUGAUUUAUAACGGAAUAGAUGUAGGCUGCUUGUUUUUAUUGGGUUUUAAAUGUAAAUCUUCCUUGAUUUGAUCAAGUUUUAACUGAGGUUUCCACUGUGCCACGUUUUCACUUUUUUGUAGACAGAUUUUUUGGUUGCUUUCUUCUUCAGAGUUUUACGUCUUCCUUGAAGCAUUGAAAGAGUUGUGGAGUUUUAGCGCCGCACCCCUCCAUGUACUUGUUACAACGAUCGACCUGAACUACAGGGUGAUUACAUUCAUCUUUCAAGUAGUCUAAUGUAAAAAAGUCUGAAUUCUACCAGAACUAUAUUAGUUUUCCCUAGUGUGCAGUUGAAUGGUUUUUGGUGUGAUGAAGAGAGGCUGAUGAGUGCCGUCUGUCUGAAGAAAGCAGAGCCGUCAGAUCCUUUCAAACUAACAAUCAACCAAAUAAGAGCAAAGCCCUCCAAUCACAGAUCCUGCUACAGACCAGACCUUUGCCUUAACAGAUGAGCGGAUGAUUGUUGUUUUUACGGUCUUCAAGCCAUACUGGCUAGUUGAAUGACUAGGUGAAUGCAGACAGAAAUAGAGAGAGAGAUGCUAGAUGAACGGAUGCCUGAAGCAGAAUGCAGUCUUGACCAGAAAGCUCUCCCAUCUUCACACCCUGUUAGUUUCAUCAAGCAGUCUGGAAUGGUGCCUUUUGUACCUUGGCAGAACUGCUCACUUGCAGCUGGUGUUUGCUUUUGAACACCACUGUUCCUGUUACGCUUCAAGGUUGGGCUGUUACUGUCCCCACCUGAAGCUGGGUCUUCUCUUCCUUCCUUCUGUUCUGCUUUCAUUGGUCCGUGCGUUUCUGUGGUUAAAGGCCUUACUUGGAAAUCCCAAGAUGUGUUAAUGUGUCAUUGGAAGCUGUAAGAAUUUAUUCAGUGUUGAAUGAAACUGAUUUGUUCCUCUAUGCAGAUGGACUGCGUGUGACACGUGUAUCUAAACUCAGGAUCGAGUGCCGGGUUCGUCUUUACUGUCGGAGACUCCGUCAGUUUUUCUUCAGAUGUGAGGAGAGCCGUCAAGGAAACUGAUGCAGAUUUCGCUCUGUUCUGUUCCUGAAUGUCGUUCGCUCGUCCGGUUGAUUCUUGUGAUUGAAUGCUGGGAUGUUUGAGCAGAUGUUUGUCGUAUGGCCCAUCAUGCCUUCGUUUCAAACUAUAGCUGGAGUGUUGGUCAGUUAGCCACAUGUCCAUCACAUUAGCUGCAGCUCUUCGGUUUCCUCACACGUUUGACAUUAGUUUUGUUCACAGGCUCAGUGUUGUGCUAUUGCACGGCCCUGCCGUCUGUGUACCUGAGAAAUACUCCAUGUGACAGUUAGAAUGAAUAUAUUCAUAUUUAUAGUUCUCAAUAUAACUAGUAUUUAAAAGUAUGUAAAUGUGUGUGCGCCGCAUAUGCUUUGAUUUGAAGUGGCUGACGUUAGUAAAGCUGACGGUACAAUCUUACCGGUUGAAAAUCCGUUGUGUGUUUGUACGUUGGUGUGGCUGUACAGCACCCGUUCACCCGACAAUGACUAAAUCACCAAUUCAACGAUUGCCUGUUAUCUUGAAUUAUUAAGAUACUUGUAUAUUAUAUUUAGAGAUAGAAAAUGGGAGAGUGUGACAAGCAUAUAAGGUGUUUCUCACUGAUGCAGCUGUAGGUUUCCACACGCUGAGGAGCCUCUCAAAGCUUCCGCUGGUGUUUCUGUAGAAGAUGAAGUCUUUUUUUGUCAUGCCGUUUCUCAUCCUGCAGAAUGUGUUGCCAAAGUCUGUUUCAUGUUCUCUCCUUAGCUUAUUUCUGCAUGUGAAAACAACUUCACAAAUCAAGGUC